rnacentral:rRNA from 1 species
UGCGAGCGAACAGGGAAGAGCCCAGCACCGAAUCCCGCGGCCCGAUAUCGGGACGCCCGGAAAAUGGUGGUGUUAGGGAGGAUCCGUUUAUCCCGAGGGUCGUGCGGUGCGUCCAAGUCCUUCUUGAACGGGGCCACAGCCCAUAGAGGGUGCCAGGCCCGUAGCGACCGCUGCCGAUCGCGGGAGGAUCUCUCCUCAGAGUCGGGUUGCUUGAGAGUGCAGCCCUAAGUGGGUGGUAAACUCCAUCUAAGGCUAAAUAUGACCACGAGACCGAUAGCGAACAAGUACCGUGAGGGAAAGUUGAAAAGCACUUUGAAGAGAGAGUUCAAGAGUACGUGAAACCGUUCAGGGGUAAACCUGAGAAGCCCGAAAGGUCGAAUGGGGAAAUUCAUUCGCGUUUCGACUGUCGGCGUGGUGACGGUCGAGUGACGGAUGGCGUACGCGUCGUCCGCUCCUUCCGUUCUUCGAACUGGCGUCGAACGCGUGCACUUUUCCCCUAGUAGGACGUCGCGAUCCGUUGGGUGUCGGUCUACGGCUCGCGGUGGAGCCCGUGCGGUUGCUUUACGGCGUAUCGCACGGACCCGCGGUGUCCCGACCGACUCGCUCGACGGUAUACAGAUGGCGCGGGGCCGCUGCAAUUCAGUUAGCGUUCGGC